AUACGUAGGUGACAAGCGUUAUCCGGAUUUACUGGGCGUAAAGGGCGUGUAGGCGGUCUUGCAAGUCAGAAGUGAAAUUCCUGAGCUCAACUCGGGCGCUGCUUCUGAAACUGCAGGACUUGAGUGCUGGAGGGGAUAGCGGAAUUCCUAGUGGAGCGGUAAAAUGCGCAGAUAUUAGGAAGAACACCGGUGGCGAAGGCGGCUAUCUGGAAAGUAACUGACGCUGAGGCGCGAAAGCGGGGGGAGCAAACAGGAUUAGAUCCCCUGGUAGUCCACGCCGUAAACGAUGAUGACUAACCGCCGGGGGGUAGACUUCCGGCAGCCAAGCGAAAGCGAUAAGUCAUCCACCUGGGGAGUACGGCCGCAAGGCUGAAACUCAAAGGAAUUGGCGGGG
rnacentral:rRNA from 1 species